GACGAACGCUGGCGGCGUGCUUAACACAUGCAAGUCGAACGGUGAAGCGCCUUCCUUUUUGGUGGGUGUGGAUGAGUGGCGAACGGGUGAGUAACACGUGAGUAACCUGCCCCCUUCUUCUGGAUAACCGCAUGAAAGUGUGGCUAAUACGGGAUAUUCUGGGUCUGUCGCAUGAUGGGUCUGGGAAAGAUAUUGUUUCGGUUGGGGAUGGGCUCGCGGCCUAUCAGCUUGUUGGUGGGGUGAUGGCCUACCAAGGCGGUGACGGGUAGCCGGCCUGAGAGGGUGGACGGUCACACAGGGACUGAGACACGGCCAAGACUCCUACGGGAGGCAGCAGUGGGGAAUAUUGCACAGUGGGCGCAAGCCUGAUGCAGCGACGCCGCGUGAGGGAUGGAGGCCUGCGGGUUGUGAACCUCUUUCGCCAGUGAAGCAGGCCUGCCUCGUUUGUGGGUGGGUUGACGGUAGCUGGAUAAGAAGCGCCGGCUAACUACGUG
rnacentral:rRNA from 1 species